rnacentral:tRNA from 1 species
GGGCCUGUAGCUCAGUGGUUAGAGCAGUCGGCUCAUAACCGAUUGGUCGUUAGUUCAAUUCUAACCAGGCCCACCA